UUAAGCGACUAAGCGUACACGGUGGAUGCCCUGGCAGUCAGAGGCGAUGAAGGACGUGCUAAUCUGCGAAAAGCGUCGGUAAGGUGAUAUGAACCGUUACAGCCGGCGAUGUCCGAAUGGGGAAACCCAGUGCAAUUCGUUGCACUAUCGUUAACUGAAUACAUAGGUUAACGAGGCGAACCGGGGGAACUGAAACAUCUAAGUACCCCGAGGAAAAGAAAUCAACCGAGAUUCCCCCAGUAGCGGCGAGCGAACGGGGAGCAGCCCAGAGUCUGAAUCAGCUUGUGUGUUAGUGGAACGGUCUGGAAAGUCCGACGGUACAGGGUGAUAGUCCCGUACACCAAAAUGCACAGGCUGUGAACUCGAAGAGUAGGGCGGGACACGUGGUAUCCUGUCUGAAUAUGGGGGGACCAUCCUCCAAGGCUAAAUACUCCUGACUGACCGAUAGUGAACCAGUACCGUGAGGGAAAGGCGAAAAGAACCCCGGCGAGGGGAGUGAAAAAGAACCUGAAACCGUGUACGUACAAGCAGUGGGAGCACCUUCGGGUGUGACUGCGUACCUUUUGUAUAAUGGGUCAGCGACUUAUAUUCUGUAGCAAGGUUAACCGUAUAGGGGAGCCGCAGGGAAACCGAGUCUUAACUGGGCGUUAAGUUGCAGGGUAUAGACCCGAAACCCGGUGAUCUAGCCAUGGGCAGGUUGAAGGUUGGGUAACACUAACUGGAGGACCGAACCGACUAAUGUUGAAAAAUUAGCGGAUGACUUGUGGCUGGGGGUGAAAGGCCAAUCAAACCGGGAGAUAGCUGGUUCUCCCCGAAAGCUAUUUAGGUAGCGCCUCGUGAACUCAUCUUCGGGGGUAGAGCACUGUUUCGGCUAGGGGGUCAUCCCGACUUACCAACCCGAUGCAAACUACGAAUACCGAAGAAUGUUAUCACGGGAGACACACGGCGGGUGCUAACGUCCGUCGUGAAGAGGGAAACAACCCAGACCGCCAGCUAAGGUCCCAAAGUCAUGGUUAAGUGGGAAACGAUGUGGGAAGGCACAGACAGCCAGGAUGUUGGCUUAGAAGCAGCCAUCAUUUAAAGAAAGCGUAAUAGCUCACUGGUCGAGUCGGCCUGCGCGGAAGAUGUAACGGGGCUAAACCAUGCACCGAAGCUGCGGCAGCGACACUAUGUGUUGUUGGGUAGGGGAGCGUUCUGUAAGCCUGCGAAGGUGACCUGUGAGGGUUGCUGGAGGUAUCAGAAGUGCGAAUGCUGACAUAAGUAACGAUAAAGCGGGUGAAAAGCCCGCUCGCCGGAAGACCAAGGGUUCCUGUCCAACGUUAAUCGGGGCAGGGUGAGUCGACCCCUAAGGCGAGGCCGAAAGGCGUAGUCGAUGGGAAACAGGUUAAUAUUCCUGUACUUGGUGUUACUGCGAAGGGGGGACGGAGAAGGCUAUGUUAGCCGGGCGACGGUUGUCCCGGUUUAAGCAUGUAGGCUGAUUGUCCAGGCAAAUCCGGAUAAUCAAGGCUGAGGUGUGAUGACGAGGCACUACGGUGCUGAAGUAACAAAUGCCCUGCUUCCAGGAAAAGCCUCUAAGCAUCAGGUAACAUCAAAUCGUACCCCAAACCGACACAGGUGGUCAGGUAGAGAAUACCAAGGCGCUUGAGAGAACUCGGGUGAAGGAACUAGGCAAAAUGGUGCCGUAACUUCGGGAGAAGGCACGCUGGUGUGUAGGUGAAGUCCCUGCGGAUGGAGCUGAGACCAGUCGAAGAUACCAGCUGGCUGCAACUGUUUAUUAAAAACACAGCACUGUGCAAACACGAAAGUGGACGUAUACGGUGUGACGCCUGCCCGGUGCCGGAAGGUUAAUUGAUGGGGUUAUCCGUAAGGAGAAGCUCUUGAUCGAAGCCCCGGUAAACGGCGGCCGUAACUAUAACGGUCCUAAGGUAGCGAAAUUCCUUGUCGGGUAAGUUCCGACCUGCACGAAUGGCGUAAUGAUGGCCAGGCUGUCUCCACCCGAGACUCAGUGAAAUUGAACUCGCUGUGAAGAUGCAGUGUACCCGCGGCAAGACGGAAAGACCCCGUGAACCUUUACUAUAGCUUGACACUGAACAUUGAGCCUUGAUGUGUAGGAUAGGUGGGAGGCUUUGAAGCGUGGACGCCAGUCUGCGUGGAGCCAACCUUGAAAUACCACCCUUUAAUGUUUGAUGUUCUAACGUUGGCCCCUUACCGGGGUUGCGGACAGUGUCUGGUGGGUAGUUUGACUGGGGCGGUCUCCUCCCAAAGCGUAACGGAGGAGCACGAAGGUUAGCUAAUCCUGGUCGGACAUCAGGAGGUUAGUGCAAUGGCAUAAGCUAGCUUGACUGCGAGCGUGACGGCGCGAGCAGGUGCGAAAGCAGGUCAUAGUGAUCCGGUGGUUCUGAAUGGAAGGGCCAUCGCUCAACGGAUAAAAGGUACUCCGGGGAUAACAGGCUGAUACCGCCCAAGAGUUCAUAUCGACGGCGGUGUUUGGCACCUCGAUGUCGGCUCAUCACAUCCUGGGGCUGAAGUAGGUCCCAAGGGUAUGGCUGUUCGCCAUUUAAAGUGGUACGCGAGCUGGGUUUAGAACGUCGUGAGACAGUUCGGUCCCUAUCUGCCGUGGGCGCUGGAGAAUUGAGGGGGGCUGCUCCUAGUACGAGAGGACCGGAGUGGACGCAUCACUGGUGUUCGGGUUGUCAUGCCAAUGGCACUGCCCGGUAGCUAAAUGCGGAAGAGAUAAGUGCUGAAAGCAUCUAAGCACGAAACUUGCCCCGAGAUGAGUUCUCCCUGAGACUUUAAGUCUCCUGAAGGAACGUUGAAGACGACGACGUUGAUAGGCCGGGUGUGUAAGCGCAGCGAUGCGUUGAGCUAACCGGUACUAAUGAACCGUGAGGCUUAACCUU
rnacentral:rRNA from 2 species